UUAUUAUGGAGAGUUUGAUCCUGGCUCAGAGUGAACGCUGGCGGCGUGCCUAAUACAUGCAAGUCG
rnacentral:rRNA from 1 species